rnacentral:rRNA from 1 species
CGGGUGAGUAAUGUAUGGGGAUCUGCCUGAUGGGGGGGGAUAACUACUGGAAACGGUAGCUAAUACCGCAUAACGUCGCAAGACCAAAGAGGGGGACCUUAGGGCCUCUUGCCAUCGGAUGUGCCCAGAUGGGAUUAGCUAGUAGGUGGGGUAAUGGCUCACCUAGGCGACGAUCCCUAGCUGGUCUGAGAGGAUGACCAGCCACACUGGAACUGAGACACGGUCCAG